rnacentral:lncRNA from 1 species
AUGCUCAACUUCUGUCUAUAUAAACCUUGUGCGAUGUGUUUAUCAUUGCUUCACUUUCAGCCUUGUUUUGUGAGUGAGUCCAAUUGCAAUUGUUGUUUGUCUAAUAAAUAUACUUAUAUGCUACUCCGGAGUCCUGAGGUAACUAGGGUGAAUUUUCACCUAUCAUAUUUGGGGGCUCGUGACCGGGAUUCCAACAACCUCAACGGCUCUCCACGCUGGGCUAAUCAUCAGGACCUGAACCAUACGGAGGAGUAUGAGACUUUUCUAAAGACCUCCAACUUGAAUUGGAAGGAGGCCAGGGCCUGCCAGCGGGGAGAGCCGAGAGUGAAGGAAAAUAAUUGGACUGUAGGGUGUGGACUCCGAGCUGUUUGAACACUGUGAGGCUGAAUUCAAGGUUGGACCAGGAGAUUGUGUCCUAAUCAACAGCCUCAAAAGAAAACACUGCCAUUCGCCCAAGUGGGACAGACCAUAACAAGUGCUACUGUCAACAUCUACCACAGUCAAAAUAGCGGAGAGAGCCACCUGGAUACAUCUAACACAUUGUAAACGAGUAAGCCUUCCUUAGAAAGAGACAGAGGAUAGGAGCUGUCUUCCUCUACAGUUUUCCAAGGCCGGGCCACUGUGACAGAAGUCCAGCUACAAAGGGGAUUCUUUGCGUUAGGCAAUUUUUCGUCUCAAACCUGGUGAAGAAAACAACACUGUCCAGUGGGGUAAAAGAGCCUAGUGGAUACUGGGAGGGCGGGGCGGUCCUAUCUCUGUGAAGUCAUGGGAGUUACAAGGGGAAAAUGAAACAAUGUGUAGAACUUUUGAUCAUAACUGUACUGCUCUACAUUUUGGGACUUUUAACAUAUUGAUCACAACAGGCAACGGUCUUGGUCAAAUGUCCGCGAUGGGCCUAUAAGAUCAUCCGUGGUGGAAAUGGGUGAACCAGACUGCCCACACACUUUCUACAAAAAGACUGUUUACAUUUUCCUGCCCAGUAAUAUUCAACAGCCGAUGUGUUCUGCAGGAUGCCUGAUGGGAAAACAGGGCCUUCAAAGGACACAGCAAAGAGGCCUUGUUCGAAUGUUAUCUGAAGCCUAGGCGAGCUAAUGACACACACACAGUCGACAUUCACUAUGUUGGCCUACAAAUGCAAAGUAUACAAAUGUGUGAUGAGAAAUAUGAUGACAUUUUAAAUGAUUAACUUAUAAUGAUAUGGAGUGAUGCUCAGUAAUGAUCUCUGUUCCGAAAAUCCAUGUGAUAAAGCUCAGAGUGAUGAUUUUGAAGUUAUCCAUUGAAAUUGAUAAUUGACGAAAGGUGAUUUUGAUUUUAAUUUUAAUUGUGAUUUUGAUUGUGAUUUUGAAUUAUCCAUUGAAACGGAUAAAAGGAG